rnacentral:tRNA from 1 species
GCCGAAGUGGCGGAAUUGGCAGACGCACUUGACUCAAAAUCAAGCGGCCACAAACCGUGCCGGUUCGAGUCCGGCCUUCGGCACCA